GCAAUGCGUGAAAGCGUGACGAGGGGACCCCGGGUUCCCCAGUACAACUGGGGAUUUUGUAGAGCGUAAAAAGCUUUAAGAAUAAGUGCUGGGUAAGACCGGUGCCAGCCUCCGCGGUAACACCGGCAGCGCAAGUGGUGGUCACGUUUAUUGGGCUUAAAGCGUCCGUAGUCGGUUCAGCAAGUUCCCUGUGAAAUCCUGCCGCUUAACGGUAGGGCUUGCAGGGAAUACUGCCGAGCUAGGGACCGGAAGAGGUCAGGGGUAUUCCCGGGGUAGCGGUGAAAUGUUAUAAUCCCGGGAGGACCACCCGCGGCGAAGGCGCCUGACUAGUACGGGUCCGACGAUGAGGGACGAGAGCUGGGGGAGCAAAACGGAUUAGAUACCCGUGUAGUCCCAGCCGUAAACGAUGCGGACUGAGUAUUGCACAAAUCUCGUAUUUGUGCAGUGCUGAAGGGAAACCGUUAAGUCCGCCGUCUGGGGAGUACGGUCGCAAGGCUGAAACUUAAAGGAAUUGGCGGGGGAACACCACAAGGGGUGGAGUCUGCGGUCCAAUUGGAUACAACGCCGGGAAACUCACCAGGGGCGACGGCAGUAUGAAAGCCAAGCUGAAGGUUUUGCUUUGACGAGCCGAGAGGUAGUGCAUGGCCGUCGUCAGCUCGUACCGUGAGGCGUGCGGUUAAGUCCGUUAACGAGCAAGACCCGUGCCCUUAUUUGCGACCCUUUCCGAUGGGGAGGGGGCACUAUAAGGGGACCGGUGGCGAUGAGUCACAGGAAGGCGCGGGCGACGGUAGGUCUGUAUGCUCCGAAUCUCCUGGGCCACACGUGGACUACAAUGGCAUGAACAAUGAGUUGCAACGCCGAAAGGCGAAGCUAAUCCCCAAAUCAUGUCUUAGUUCGGAUCGAGGGCUGUAACUCAGCCCUCGUGAAGAUGAAAUCCCUAGUAAUCGCUGGUCACCAUCCAGCGGUGAAUAUGUCCCUGUUCCUUGCACACACCGCCCGU
rnacentral:rRNA from 1 species